AAGACUAUACUUUCAGGGAUCAUUUCUAUAGUUCGUUGCAAACUCUGAUGCUAUAAAAAUGAAUAUACAUAAGUCUCUUCAGAGAGGAUUCUUUUUUUUUCCUGAGUAUGUACUCAGGAAAAGGGUUGCUGGG
rnacentral:snoRNA from 1 species